UGCCAGUGAUAAACUGGAGGAAGGUGGGGAUGACGUCAAGUCAUCAUGGCCCUUACGAGUAGGGCUACACACGUGCUACAAUGGCGCAUACAAAGAGAAGCGACCUCGCGAGAGCAAGCGGACCUCAUAAAGUGCGUCGUAGUCCGGAUUGGAGUCUGCAACUCGACUCCAUGAAGUCGGAAUCGCUAGUAAUCGUGGAUCAGAAUGCCACGGUGAAUACGUUCCCGGGCCUUGUACACACCGCCCGUCACACCAUGGGAGUGGGUUGCAAAAGAAGUAGGUAGCUUAACCUUCGGGAGGGCGCUUACCACUUUGUGAUUCAUGACUGGGGUGAAGUCGUAACAAGGUAACCGUAGGGGAACCUGCGGUUGGAUCAC
rnacentral:rRNA from 1 species